AUGGAUCUGGAGGCGAAAAGAGACUUGGUAGACUCUCUACGUCGCUACCGUGAGACCCUGAGGUGGGAGACCGAAUUCCUGAGGUGGGAGGUCACCUCCCGUGGCCUGGGGACGAUUGCUGGGAGGAAGGAGUAUCUGAAGGAGCAUACUGCUGGAAGAUCACUAUCUCGCGAAUUACCUCAGCUGAAGGAGCAGUUGUCCGGCCAGAAGAUCGCGAGCCUGCCUGUGGUGAGUUUGCCCUACCUUGUUCCUCGUCACGAGGAGGCCCUCGAUCUGCUCCUGCACGAGGCGCACAAGCUGGGCUACCGGAUCCAGUCUCUGAGGGAACUCGCUGCUCCAAUCUCCUUGGAGACGGCCAGGUUACUGUGUCUCCUGUCGGAGAGAUGUGCGGAGAUCUCCAGAAUCAUUGCGAGGCAAGGGUCGCCCAAUUCAGGCAAAUCUUCUGCGGAUGCUGCAAUUGCUGCUUACAGCGAGCGCCGCGAAAGCUGGGAAUCCAUUUGGGGUAGUCCAGUAUUAAGGUCUGGCGGCUUCAACGAUAUAACCACACUGUCUUCUAUGUACUUUACCCCAUUUGCACCUGCUAUCAUCCCAUACACCGGCUUCGCCACCAAGGCCUUGCAGAUUUACUCCUUCGAAAUCUCUGACCUGAAUGACUGCUUGAAGUGGCCACUCUAUGUGUAUGGCGUGGUUGCUGCUCGAGACGUUGUGGAUGGUAACCGCAACCUCCUCUUCUCUCGCUCCCGGGCUAACUGCCAAGUACUCACUGAAAAGGAUCCUUUUUUGCACUUGACUGGGCCUUCUCGUGUUAUUCUGGCUGAGUGUCCUGUCGACUUUGAAGUUGAACUAAGGAUAAGAGAUGGAACAGAGUCCCAAGAUAAAGCCUUGAUGAGUGAUGCUAUCCACCACAGUUUCGCUAGUGCUGACAGCGCUGUUUUCUUUAGCUGCCUGUGUUCAGCAACGUUAAGCCUCCAGACUAUUUAUAGUGCAGUCCAGGCCACUAUCUUGUCCAUUCGUCUUGUUGGAGGGGAGUCAUCUUUUGAAUAUGGAGGUCAAGUUUCAUGUUCAUCAUAUACUGAAGGUGUCAAUGCUGAUGCACGUCGGGAAGUUGUGUUGAUUGAUUGUGAUGAAAAAUUUCUUGAAGAUGGACUGGAUGGCUAUAUCUCUCUUUCAAGGAAUGUUGUCACCGUGAAAUUGAAAGGAUCACUGAAGAUUACCAUAAAAGAAUAUGCAAAGUCUCGUCUUGUCGCUAACGAGGCCCAGCUUGAUAUCCCUGCUCAGCAUUGCCAAGUAAGCAAGGGAGAAUGUGUUCUUGGCGGACAUAAUGUGGUUGUUCUUAUUGCUUGGUCCCUGCUUGUGAGGGACAAGCUCGCUAACUUGGUGAUGGGGUGA
rnacentral:rRNA from 1 species